CCAAUAGCGUAUAUUAAAGUUGUUGCAGUUAAAAAGCUCGUAGUUGAAUUUCGGGGUUAGUAAGUUGGUCAUGCCUUCGGUAUGUACUGGCUUUACUGAUUCCUCCUUCUUGACGAACUGUAAUGUCAUUAAUUUGGUGUUGCAGGAAAUCAGGACUGUUACUUUGAAAAAAUUAGAGUGUUUAAAGCAGGCUUACGCUUGAAUACAUUAGCAUGGAAUAAUGAAAUAGGACGUUAAUUCUAUUUUGUUGGUUUCUAGGGUCGACGUAAUGAUUAAUAGGGAUGGUUGGGGGCAUUAGUAUUCAAUUGUCAGAGGUGAAAUUCUUGGAUUUAUUGAAGACUAACUACUGCGAAAGCAUUUGCCAAGGAUGUUUUCAUUAAUCAAGAACGAAAGUUAGGGGAUCGAAGACGAUCAGAUACCGUCGUAGUCUUAACCAUAAAUUAUGCCGACUAGGGAUCGGAUGAUGUUAAUUUUUUAAUGACUCA
rnacentral:rRNA from 1 species